UCCCAAAGUGUGUGUUAAGUGGAAAAGGAUGUGGGAUUUCAUAGACAACUAGGAUGUUGGCUUAGAAGCAGCCAUACAUUUAAAGAGUGCGUAAUAGCUCACUAGUCGAGAGAACCUGCGCCGAAAAUAAUCGGGGCUAAAACACACCACCGAAGCUACGGAUUUCCUGCUUAAGGUAGGAAGUGGUAGAGGAGCAUACUGCAAGGACGAAGCCUGAUUGAGAGAGAAGGUGGACGAAGCAGUAGAGAGAAUGCCGGAAUGAGUAGCGAGAUAUAUGUGAGAACCAUAUAGGCCGAAUAUCUAAGGAUUCCUGAGUGAAGCUAAUCUGCUCAGGGUAAGUCGGGACCUAAGGCGAGGACGAGAGUCGUAGUCGAUGGACAACUGGUAGAGAUUCCAGUACUAUGUAUAAUCAGAACUGUGGGGACGCAGGAGGAUAGAUGGACCGCGGAAAGGGAAGACGCGGCCAAGUACAAAGUCAAGUUAGGUAGGCAAAUCCGCCAAACGAUGAUGAAGUACGACGGGGACUGAAAGAAAGUAAGGAAGUCAUUGAAUCCACACUGCCGAGAAAAGCCGCUAUAGUGUUAUACAUACCCGUACCGUAAACCGACACAGGUAGAUGAGGAGAAAAUCCACAGGCCGACGGAAGAAGUAUUGUUAAGGAACUCGGCAAAAUGACCCCGUAACUUAGGGAGAAGGGGAGCCACGAGAGUGGUCACAGAAAAGAGGCUCAAGCAACUGUUUAGCAAAAACACAGGUCUCUGCGAAACCGAAAGGUGAAGUAUAGGGGCUGACACCUGCCCGGUGCUGGAAGGUUAAAAGGAGAGGUUAGCCGCAAGGCGAAGCUUUGAAUUCAAGCCCCAGUAAACGGCGGCCGUAACUAUAACGGUCCUAAGGUAGCGAAAUUCCUUGUCAGGUAAGUUCUGACCCGCACGAAAGGUGUAAUGAUUUGAGCACUGUCUCGACAACACGCCCGGUGAAAUUGAAGAACCAGUGAAGAUACUGGUUACCCGCAACAGGACGGAAAGACCCCAUGGAGCUUUACUGCAGCCUGAUACUGGGAUUCGAUGAUGUAUGUACAGGAUAGGAGGGAGACAGAGAAGGUAGGACGCCAGUCUUGCCGGAGUCGCCGGUGGGAUACCUCUCUUACAUCAUUGGAUUUCUAACCUGCAUCCGUGAACCGGAUGAGGGACAAUGUCAGGCGGGCAGUUUGACUGGGGCGGUCGCCUCCAAAAGAGUAACGGAGGCGCUCAAAGGUCUUCUCAGAAUGAUUGGAAACCAUUCAAAGAGUGUAAAGGCAAAAGAAGGCUUGACUGCGAGGUCGACGGACCGAGCAGGUACGAAAGUAGGACUUAGUGAUCCGGUGGUAUUACGUGGGAAUGCCAUCGCUCAACGGAUAAAAGCUACCCUGGGGAUAACAGGCUGAUCUCCCCCAAGAGUUCACAUCGACGGGGAGGUUUGGCACCUCGAUGUCGGCUCAUCGCAUCCUGGGGCUGAAGUAGGUCCCAAGGGA
rnacentral:rRNA from 1 species